UUUUUAAAAAUAUAUUCAAAAAGAAUGCGUCUUUUACAGAUUUCAAUAUAACCACAAAUGGUUGAUUGUUUUAAUGCUAAGAUAAGUAUUAAUGGUUUGUAUUUGAAAAUCAAAUUAUAUAAGCGAAAAAUAGUAAGAUACAUUAUGUAUAUCUUAAAACACGCCCUUCUCAGUUACUACUUCGGCGAAUAUCGUUUGAUAAUUUAGAUGAUCAGAAUUAAACACCGUUUUGCUAUGUUAUUAUUUUUUUAUGAUUGGGUGGGGGUAUACUUAAUUAGGGGAUUGGAUUGAAAGAUUAUAGCUACCAUCUUAUGGAGACAUAAUGUGUGGUGCAUUUACGGUCUUAUAAAGCUCUAUUCUUACAUAAAGAAUUCUUGAUUCGCACGGAAGUGUUUUAGCCGUGAUCAUUUUAAGUCAUGCUUAUGCCAAGAUCUGGGCAACAGAAUGUUAAUUGUAAAUGUGGGCGGUGUACAGUCAAGGUUGAAUGUAGCUGUAAAGAUUGCAACGGGUUUCUCUGCUGUCGUACUGAUGAGAACGCAGUCUGUGUUACCGGAAUGGAUUUUUUUUGUGAAUGAAUGCUUAAAUGCGUCGGCCCUAGAUAUACUUCAUAAAGAAUAUGAAACAGACGGGCCCUAGAUAUACUUCAUAAAGAAUAUGAAACAGACGGGCCCUAGAUAUACUUCAUAAAGAAUAUGAAACAGACGGGCCGCAACCUGGAAGACAUGUAAACGAGCAAUACCGUUACACAGCUUAUCGCCAUUUCGUCAAGCAAGUCUAUGGUAUCCUUGGAUGGGGUAAUAGAGUGGAUAUACCUACUUGUGUUUACAGGGCCAUCCACGCUACCUUCCCUUUACCAUAUUAGAAUACACAGUCAACACAUUUUAUUAAAUUUUAUAAAACGAUAUCAUAAUGUUGUCACCUAAUUACAAAAAUCUUAGUGAUUUAUGUUUAAUUAAACUCCACCAAUCUAUAUAAAUAUAAACUUUGAAAGAUGAAUGACAUUUUAUAUACGCGAAUCGCCAUUUGCAAUUAUCGGAUAUUUAUCUAAUUUGUAAAUAAAAAGUAUUUUAAAACAUCUCCGCUCAACAGCAGUACAUAAACAGACAUAAGGUAGAAAGGAGAGGUCGUUUCGUCAACUUUAUAACGUUUUAAAUAUAUUUUAAUGUCGACUCUCUCCAGCAUCCAGCAUCUACAUAGCUCUGCUACUCUUUACAUUGCGUUCCCCCUCGUUUCCUGACUUGCUAUUAUGAUGUUAUUUGUAAUUUAGUAGCAACACUAGGUGAAUUGAAUCCGAAAUCAUCAUGUGUGAUGUCUAAUUAAAAUUUUUAACAGAAGUUUCAAAUUUCUUAAAUUGUAUUCCAUUAUAAACUGUUCACUGCGCUACUGUUCCUAUUGAUGAAAGAUCGAAACAGUGCCACGAGAAAUCAAAUUUAAUCUAUUUGUGCUUGUAACAUUCUUUAAAAUUGUAUUAUUUAUUCAAUUUGUGCUUGUAAAAUUUGAUUUAUUUUCAAAAAUCUAAACUACAUUGCUUUAAUAGCCCAGGGCCCGGUUUCACGAAAUUUUAACUAAAAAUAAAAUACAAAUUUUAGUAGAUACUUCAAUUUUGAUUAGCUAAGCACUAAAAUCAGUCUAAUAUUAUCCAAUCAAAUUACU